UACGAAGGGGGCUAGCGUUGUUCGGAAUUACUGGGCGUAAAGCGUGCGUAGACGGCUAUCUAAGUCGGGUGUGAAAGCCCCGGGCUCAACCUGGGAAUUGCAUUCGAGACUGAAUAGCUAGGGUACGGUAGGAGGGAAGUGGAAUUCCGAGUGUAGAGGUGAAAUUCGUAGAUAAUUCGGAAGAACACCAGUGGCGAAGGCGAACUUACUGGACACAGUAUUGA
rnacentral:rRNA from 1 species